UACGAAGGGGGCUAGCGUUGCUCGGAAUCACUGGGCGUAAAGGGUGCGUAGGCGGGUCUUUAAGUCAGGGGUGAAAUCCUGGAGAUCAACUCCAGAACUGCCUUUGAUACUGAAGAUCUUGAGUAUGGGAGAGGUGAGUGGAACUGCGAGUGUAGAGGUGAAAAUUCGUAGAUAUUCGCAAGAACACCAGUGGCGAAGGCGGCUCACUGGCCCAUUACUGACGCUGAGGCACGAA
rnacentral:rRNA from 1 species